GUGCCAGCAGCCGCGGUAAGACAGGGGGCUCGAGCGUUAAUCGGAAUCAUUGGGCUUAAAGGGUGCGUAGGCGGGUUGCUAAGUGUUCUGUGAAAUCCCCCGGCUCAACCGGGGAAUCGCAGGGCAUACUGGCAGCCUUGAGGCAUGUAGGGGCGGACGGAACUGUAGGUGGAGCGGUGAAAUGCGUAGAUAUCUACAGGAACGCCGAUGGUGAAGACGGUCCGCUGGGCAUGUCCUGACGCUGAGGCACGAAAGCGUGGGGAGCAAACAGGAUUAGAAACCCCGGUAGUCC
rnacentral:rRNA from 1 species